GACGAACGCUGGCGGCGUGCUUAACACAUGCAAGUCGAACGGAAAGGCCCUGCUUUUGUGGGGUGCUCGAGUGGCGAACGGGUGAGUAACACGUGAGUAACCUGCCCUUGACUUUGGGAUAACUUCAGGAAACUGGGGCUAAUACCGGAUAGGAGCUCCUGCUGCAUGGUGGGGGUUGGAAAGCUUCGGCGGUUGGGGAUGGACUCGCGGCUUAUCAGCUUGUUGGUGGGGUAGUGGCUUACCAAGGCUUUGACGGGUAGCCGGCCUGAGAGGGUGACCGGCGACAUUGGGACUGAGAUACGGCCCAGACUCCUACGGGAGGCAGCAGUGGGGAAUAUUGCACAAUGGGCGGAAGCCUGAUGCAGCAACGCCGCGUGCGGGAUGACGGCCUUCGGGUUGUAAACCGCUUUCGCCUGUGACGAAGCGUGAGUGACGGUAAUGGGUAAAGAAGCACCGGCUAACUACGUG
rnacentral:rRNA from 1 species